rnacentral:rRNA from 1 species
CGGUGGAUAACCUACCUAUAAGACUGGGAUAACUUCGGGAAACCGGAGCUAAUACCGGAUAAUAUUUUGAACCGCAUGGUUCAAAAGUGAAAGACGGUCUUGCUGUCACUUAUAGAUGGAUCCGCGCUGCAUUAGCUAGUUGGUAAGGUAACGGCUUACCAAGGCAACGAUGCAUAGCCGACCUGAGAGGGUGAUCGGCCACACUGGAACUGAGACACGGUCCAG